rnacentral:rRNA from 1 species
GAUGAACGCUGGCGGCGUGCCUAAUACAUGCAAGUCGAGCGAAUGGAUUGAGAGCUCGCUCUUAUGAAGUUAGCGGCGGACGGUGAGUAACACGUGGGUAACCUGCCCAUAAGACUGGGAUAACUCCGGGAAACCGGGGCUAAUACCGGAUAACAUUUUGAACCGCAUGGUUCGAAAUUGAAAGGCGGCUUCGGCUGUCACUUAUGGAUGGACCCGCGUCGCAUUAGCUAGUUGGUGAGGUAACGGCUCACCAAGGCAACGAUGCGUAGCCGACCUGAGAGGGUGAUCGGCCACACUGGGACUGAGACACGGCCCAGACUCCUACGGGAGGCAGCAGUAGGGAAUCUUCCGCAAUGGACGAAAGUCUGACGGAGCAACGCCGCGUGAGUGAUGAAGGCUUUCGGGUCGUAAAACUCUGUUGUUAGGGAAGAACAAGUGCUAGUUGAAUAAGCUGGCACCUUGACGGUACCUAACCAGAAAGCCACGGCUAACUACGUGCCAGCAGCCGCCGUAA